AGAGUUUGAUCAUGGCUCAGGAUGAACGCUGGAGGCGUGCUUAACACAUGCAAGUCGAACGAGGACAGAACUUUCGCAAUUCUUCGGAAUUGUUGUUUUGAGCCGAGUGGCGGACGGGUGAGUAACACGUAAGUAACCUACCCUUUAGUGGGGGAUAACGUUUCGAAAGGAACGCUAAUACCGCAUGAGAUCAAUUUGCCGCAUGGUAGAAUGAUGAAAGAUUUAUCGCUAAAGGAUGGGCUUGCGCACGAUUAGUUUGUUGGUGGGGUAAUGGCCUACCAAGACUACGAUCGUUAGCUGGUCUGAGAGGAUGAACAGCCACACUGGGACUGAGAUACGGCCCAGACUCCUACGGGAGGCAGCAGUGGGGAAUUUUGCACAAUGGGGGAAACCCUGAUGCAGCGACGCCUCGUGAGUGAUGAAAUUUUUAGGAAUGUAAAGCUCUGUCAACAGGGACGAUUAUGACGGUACCUGUAGAGGAAGCUCCGGCUAAAUACGUGCCAGCAGCCGCGGUAAUACGUAUGGAGCAAGCGUUAUCCGGAUUUAUUGGGCGUAAAGCGUGCGUAGGCGGUUUUUUAAGUAGGAUGUUAAAGGCAUGGGCUCAACCCAUUGUAUGCGUCCUAAACUGGAAAACUAGAGUUCGGGAGAGGAGAGCGGAACUCACAGUGUAGCGGUGAAAUGCGUAGAUAUUGUGAGGAACACCGGUGGCGAAGGCGGCUCUCUGGACCGACACUGACGCUGAGGUACGAAAGCGUGGGGAGCAAACAGGAUUAGAUACCCUGGUAGUCCACGCCGUAAACGUUGGUCACUAGGUGUAGGAGGUAUCGACCCCUUCUGUGCCGUAGCAAACGCGUUAAGUGACCCGCCUGGGAAGUACGGUCGCAAGACUAAAACUCAAAGGAAUUGACGGGGGCCCGCACAAGCAGUGGAACAUGUGGUUUAAUUCGACGAUACACGAAAAACCUUACCUGGGCUUGACAUCCUGAGAAUCUUAUAGAGAUAUAGGAGUGCCCUUCGGGGAAUUCAGUGACAGGUGCUGCAUGGUUGUCGUCAGCUCGUGUCGUGAGAUGUUGGGUUAAGUCCCGCAACGAGCGCAACCCUUAUCGUGUGUUACCAGCAAUUCGGUUGGGGACUCACACGAGACUGCCUGUGGAAAGCAGGAGGAAGGUGGGGAUGACGUCAAAUCAUCAUGGCCCUUAUGUCCAGGGCUACACACAUGUUACAAUGGCAUGCACAAAGGGAAGCGAAGCCGCGAGGUGAAGCCAAUCUCAUAAAACAUGCCUCAGUUCGGAUUGUAGGCUGCAACUCGCCUACAUGAAGCCGGAAUUGCUAGUAAACGCAGAUCAGCAAGCUGCGUUGAAUACGUUCCCGGGCCUUGUACACACCGCCCGUCACACCAUGAAAGCUGGGAGUACCCGAAGUCAGCGAGCCAACCUUUUAGGAGGCAGUUGCCGAAGGUAAUACUAGUGAUUGGGGUGAAGUCGUAACAAGGUA
rnacentral:rRNA from 1 species